rnacentral:misc_RNA from 1 species
AACGCACCUUGCGCUCCUUGGUAUUCCGAGGAGCAUGCCUGUUUGAGUGUCAUUAAAUUCUCAACCUCAUCAGUUUUGUUAACAAGACAGGUGAAGGCUUGGAUGUGGGGGUUUUGCAGGCUGCCUCAGUGCUGGUCUGCUCCCCUGAAAUGCAUUAGCGAGCUCAUUGAGCCUCCGUCUAUUGGUGUGAUAAUUAUCUACGCCGUGGAUUGGACUCAUGCUUGCUUCUAACCAUCCGCAAGGACAAUCUACUUGACCAAUUUGACCUCAAAUCAGGUAGGACUACCCGCUGAACUUAA